rnacentral:rRNA from 1 species
GACGAACGCUGGCGGCGUGCCUAAUACAUGCAAGUCGAGCGCAGGAAAUCGACGGAACCCUUCGGGGGGAAGUCGACGGAAUGAGCGGCGGACGGGUGAGUAACACGUAAAGAACCUGCCCUCAGGUCUGGGAUAACCACGAGAAAUCGGGGCUAAUACCGGAUGGGUCAUCGGACCGCAUGGUCCGAGGAUGAAAGGCGCUUCGGCGGCGCCUGGGGAGGGCUUUGCGGGGCAUUAGCUAGUUGGUGGGGUAAUGGCCCACCAAGGCGACGAUGCAUAGCCGACCUGAGAGGGUGAUCGGCCACACUGGGACUGAGACACGGCCCAGACUCCUACGGGAGGCAGCAGUAGGGAAUCUUCCACAAUGGACGAAAGUCUGAUGGAGCAACGCCGCGUGAACGAUGAAGGCCUUCGGGUCGUAAAGUUCUGUUGUAAGGGAAGAACAAGUGCCGCAGGCAAUGGCGGCACCUUGACGGUACCUUGCGAGAAAGCCACGGCUAACUACGUGCCAGCCGCCGCCGUAA